CAGUGGAUGGCUCGGCUCAAGCGCUGACGAAGGACGUGCCAAGCUGCGAUAAGCCUCGGCGAGGCGCAGGGAUCUGUUGAACCGAGGAUCUCCUAA
rnacentral:rRNA from 1 species